UUGGAAGUAAAAGUCGUAACAAGGUCUCCGUUGGUGAACCAGCGGAGGGAUCAUUACCGAGUUUACAACUCCCAAACCCCUGUGAACAUACCUUUAUGUUGCCUCGGCGGAUCAGCCCGCGCCCCGUAAAACGGGACGGCCCGCCGCAGGAACCACAAAACUCUGAUUUUAGUGUAACUUCUGAGUCUAAAAAACAAAUAAAUCAAAACUUUCAACAACGGAUCUCUUGGUUCUGGCAUCGAUGAAGAACGCAGCAAAAUGCGAUAAGUAAUGUGAAUUGCAGAAUUCAGUGAAUCAUCGAAUCUUUGAACGCACAUUGCGCCCGCCAGUAUUCUGGCGGGCAUGCCUGUUCGAGCGUCAUUUCAACCCUCAAGCCCCCGGGUUUGGUGUUGGGGAUCGGGCUGUACUCCAGCCCGGCCCCGAAAUCUAGUGGCGGUCUCGCUGCAGCCUCCAUUGCGUAGUAGCUAACACCUCGCAACUGGAACGCGGCGCGGCCAAGCCGUUAAACCCCCAACUUCUGAAUGUUGACCUCGGAUCAGGGUAGGAAUACCCGCUGAACUUAAGCAUAUCAUUUAAAGCGGAGGAA
rnacentral:rRNA from 1 species